ensembl:snRNA U6 U6 spliceosomal RNA
GUACUCGGUUUGGCAGCACAAAUACUAAGACUGGAACAUUGCAGAGAAGAUUAGCAUGGCUGCUAUGCAAGGGUGACAUGCUAAUUCGUGAAGGUUUGCAUAUUUGG